rnacentral:lncRNA from 1 species
AUAGGGCAGAACUUCUGACUACAAUGGGGGAGGUCCUAAAGAGUUGAGAGGGAAGGUGGGAGAGGAAGAGAGAGAGAGGGAGAGAGAGAGGGAGAGAGAGAGAGGGAGAGAGAGAAAGAACUGUGGAGAUGUCGCAAGGAUGGCAGGGCCACCUCUAUAUAAACACUGGGGGCCGCUUAGCCACAAAAGCAUCUCCUGCAGGAGGAUCUAAUUGAGGACUUGCCUGAAAAACCAAGGAUUGCCGUCACAGACAAUGCCAGCCAAUCGGGAACUGCUGUUUAGAAGAGAUGCUUUCCUGGGCGCUGAUGGAGAGUAGUAAAGGAGCUUGCAGCGGUGCUCAGAUGAGUUUGCUACUGCCCUGUUUCUCACAGACUCCCAGAGUCUGUGUCAUUGACUCUGUGCCAUAUCACCUCCAACCUCUCAUCUCACCCGAGGGCAGGUAGGGCCAAGUGGUGAGUAAUCCAGGGUGCAGGCGACAUGGAGAGACCAUGUGGGUGGACCAGGAAGAUUGGCCAUGAGGUCACCACCAUGAGAGAAUAGCCAUGACAGGCACACAUGGACUAGAGACCAGAUGUCCAGUAAUGGGGCAUUUUGCUGGUUAGUAGCAUCUUAGUCUGGUUAAACACCCUUGUCCGUUGGGGUCAAAGGAUGCCUAAGAAAACCCCCAAGAAUUACAUUUACACCCCACCCUGGCCAGGUCCUAGAUGAUAUAAAAAACCAGACUGAGCAAGCAAUGAGAAGCAAGCCAGUAAACUGCACUCCUCCAUGGCCUCUGCAUCAGCUCCUGCUUCCAAGGUUCCUGUCCUGUUUGAGUUCCUGUCCUGUCUUCCCACCGUGGUGGACUAUUAUUACUGGUGAAUCCAUCGAAUCAGAAAAGAGAUCAGUGGCCGUGUUGCUCUUGGGAUGAAAUGGGCAGAUCACGUGACAGUCGACUGAGCACCACUCCAGAGUCAGCUAGGAUGAUGGAUGUGAUGGAAACUUGGGAUAUGCCACACUACAGACCCUAGAAUCCGUUUACUUCAUGACUAUGCUUACUGAUGUCAGCGACACUAAAGAGGGGG